rnacentral:rRNA from 1 species
ACACAUGCAGCCGAGCGGUAGAGAUCUUUCGGGAUCUUGAGAGCGGCGUACGGGUGCGGAACACGUGUGCAACCUGCCUUUAUCAGGGGGAUAGCCUUUCGAAAGGAAGAUUAAUACCCCAUAAUAUAUUGAGUGGCAUCACUUAAUAUUGAAAACUCCGGUGGAUAGAGAUGGGCACGCGCAAGAUUAGAUAGUUGGUGAGGUAACGGCUCACCAAGUCUGCGAUCUUUAGGGGGCCUGAGAGGGUGAUCCCCCACACUGGUACUGAGACACGGACCAGACUCCUACGGGAGGCAGCAGUGAGGAAUAUUGGACAAUGGGUGCGAGCCUGAUCCAGCCAUCCCGCGUGAAGGACGACGGCCCUAUGGGUUGUAAACUUCUUUUGUAUAGGGAUAAACCUACUCUCGUGAGAGUAGCUGAAGGUACUAUACGAAUAAGCACCGGCUAACUCCGUGCCAGCAGCCGCGGUAAUACGGAGGGUGCAAGCGUUAUCCGGAUUUAUUGGGUUUAAAGGGUCCGUAGCGGAUCUGUAAGUCAGUGGUGAAAUCUCACAGCUUAACUGUGAAACUGCCAUUGAUACUGCAGGUCUUGAGUGUUGUUGAAGUAGCUGGAAUAAGUAGUGUAGCGGUGAAAUGCAUAGAUAUUACUUAGAACACCAAUUGCGCGCAGGUACUAAGCAACAACUGACCCUGAUGACGAAAGCGUGGGGGAGGCGACAGAUAGAA